rnacentral:lncRNA from 1 species
CAUUUAAUUAAAGAAAAACAUUAAUUCCAGUUCAGUUCAUGGUGGCACACAGACAUGGUGCUAAAGAGGCAGCUGAGAAUUUUACAUCCAGAUCAGCAGGCACCAAGAGGGAUGCUGAGCCUGGCUUGACCAUUUGGAACCUCAAAGCCCACCCCCCAGUGACACACUUCCUCCAGCAAUGCCACUCUCCAGUAAUGCCACCCCUAUGAGCCUGUGGUGGCUUUUUUUCUUCUGACCAAUACAAUUGGUUAGGCUGGAAAAAACUGCAAUCUUCCAUCUUUGGUGAGUUCCACUGCACUGAAUCGGCAUAAAGAAUGACUGCUUCACAGUGUUUCCCCCACACAGUGAGCCAGGAACCCAGAUUGCUAGCUCUAAGUCAACCAGUUGUUCAGUGAAUGUGGACUCCUCCAUAGCUGGGAUGCUCCUCCGUAGAUGGAGUGCUGGAUAGGAAGAAGCAGAGUAAACCGGCAGAGCCCCAGCCUCCAGAAGCUUCUUUCUAGCUUCAUCCAGGAUUUAGGGAUGUGCUAAGGCAUAUCAACCAGACAGAAGGACAAGCCCUAAGAGAAAGGUAAAAGUAUGUGGGUCCCCAAAUUCAGCUGCUGGAAAUUAACUCCACCUCCCGGUCCACAAGUGACAGGCAACAUCUUAAAGAGGUGACUGAGUUGGGAGGUGUCACCCUCGUGAAUAGAUGACUGGUCUUACUUUCUUCACAGCCAGGAGCCCCCUCCCCACAAACACAGCCCUCAGUCUUGAAUUGCCCAACUACCAGAACCAAGAGCUAAUUGGGUUUAUAAUUUAAUGUUUGUGAUAUUAAUUGUAGCAACAGAAACUGAACUAAGGCCAGCAGUAAUGGUGCAGGCCUUUAAUCUCAGUACUCAGGAAGUAGAGGCAGGCUGAUCUCUUGAGGUUUUGGCCAGCCUGGUCUACAGAGGAAGUUUCAGAAUAGCCAGGGUGACACAGGAAAAUGCUGUCUCAAAAACAAACAGAAAACUGAACUAAGACAGACAGAUACAAAUAUUUACAUUAAGGAUAGCUAAUAUUUUAGGCUCCUCACAGUUGAGUUAUUGUUAAAAGACAGUCUCUACUAUAUAUUGGUGUUCUAGGUUAUUUGCAUAUAUUUACAUUAUUUAAUCUCCUCAAAUCCCCAUGAGGUAGUCAUAGGUUUCCCUGCCUCUGGCUCUCAUGGACUUGCUGAUGGCUGCAUGGCCAACUGGAAUUCCCAAGUCUCCUUCCUGGCCAUUCUCACAUCUAGUGGGGGUUGAAGAUAAAAAAAUGUUAAGUGUGCACACUGGGCAUGCUUGACUGGUGCCUAGCUCUCGGUAAUAUGCUGCCACCUACUUGGGUUUAAUUGAUGUCCCAACCCCGAGGCAGUUGACCUGGGGCUGUCAGUUGCCUUGCCUCACCUCACAUUGGCCAAGCUGGGGUCAUUCAGGGUAAAGCAAUAUCCUAGCCUCUGCUCUACUCAGCUUAUGAAGGAAGAGAAGAGAGCCCUCCCUCUGCGUGGGCUGGAUGGUUGCAGAACCCCCGCCACCGUUUGCUGCCCCCAGAUGACCCAGGGAUAUGGUGACUGACGCAUGGACAUAUGCAGAGGCACAGAAUCAGGACCACCAAACUGGAGGCCCCAUUGCUUCCAAGCCUCUCUCCUCCAGCAGUACCACCCUCUCUAAGUGUUCUAGGCAAUUAUAGUUUUGAUACCUAAUUUUUUUUUCCAACUCAAACCUUGCGAGCUUACAGAUAAAGCAAGACUGAAAACACCACUUUAGACUAUUUAAGGGCUGUCCUGGUCCUCUAUCAUCUGUCCUGAAGCUAUCCGUCUCCGUUUUCCUGUUCUGUGGAUAAGCACCAGCUCCCCAGUGGAAGUGGAGACCUAGAUGGGUAACCCAAUAGAAUCCCAGACCCCACAGAGGAGCCAGUGCUGCAGCCUGAAGGACGGGACUUGGGUCCCACUACGGUGAGAGUCUGUAUUCCCAGGUCACACUUUCCGGGCUCCAUUCUCACUUAGCCUGCUCCUUCGGGUUAGUUAUUUGACCUCGACUGAUGAUACUGAGAUAAGACCAUUUCCUCUGAAUUGAAACUCCCCCCCCCAGGGAGGAGGGGGGGUUCUAAAAUGCAAGAAGCUGAGGACACUAUCCAGGCCCAGAAAAUUCAAAAGACAAGACUUACAAGGCACCUACCAAAAGUUUUUUUUGUUUUUGUUUUUUUCCUUUUGGUGUGUGUGUGCCUGUGUGUGUGUUUGUGUGUGUGUCUGUUUGGCACAUGACAGUGUUCAUGUGGAAGUUUAGGAUUUGGUUUCUUCCCGUCAUGUGGGUUCUGGAGGUCAAUAUUGGACCCUCUGGUUUAUCCCACAAGUGGUUUGGCACACCGAGCCACCCCUCCAGUCCCAGAAGUUUUACAUAGGACCAAUAAACCACUGUAGAGAGAGAAAAGGCUCUUCAGUAGAAGUGCCUGCAAGCUGUGCAAGGAACUCUAGAGCUGCAGCUUUUGUGGGCUGUCGCCCCGACUGAUGUAGGACUUCUGGCGAGACAGCUGCCUGAGUCUCUCAUGUUCCUAUAAAUUCCCAUGCUCCUGUAUGCAAGCCCAAUAAACUCACUGGCUUAUC